UGCUCCGCUCCAUCGCAUGGUGGGGUGGGAAAUGCUUUUGCGGCAUGGGAUGGGGUCGCGUCCUAUCAGCUUGUUGGCGGGGUGAUGGCCCACCAAGGCGUUGACGGGUAGCCGGCCUGAGAGGGUGACCGGCCACAUUGGGACUGAGAUACGGCCCAGACUCCUACGGGAGGCAGCAGUGGGGAAUAUUGCACAAUGGGCGCAAGCCUGAUGCAGCGACGCCGCGUGCGGGAUGGAGGCCUUCGGGUUGUAAACCGCUUUUGUUCAAGGGCAAGGCACGGUUUCGGCCGUGUUGAGUGGAUUGUUCGAAUAGGCACCGGCUAACUACGUGCCAGCAGCCGCGGUAAUACGUAGGGUGCGAGCGUUAUCCGGAUUUAUUGGGCGUAAAGGGAGCGUAGACGGAUGGGCAAGUCUGAUGUGAAAACCCGGGGCUCAACCCCGGGACUGCAUUGGAAACUGUUCAUCUAGAGUGCUGGAGAGGUAAGUGGAAUUCCUAGUGUAGCGGUGAAAUGCGUAGAUAUUAGGAGGAACACCAGUGGCGAAGGCGGCUUACUGGACAGUAACUGACGUUGAGGCUCGAAAGCGUGGGGAGCAAACAGGAUUAGAUACCCUGGUAGUCCACGCCGUAAACGAUGACUACUAGGUGUCGGGUGGCAAAGCCAUUCGGUGCCGCAGCAAACGCAAUAAGUAGUCCACCUGGGGAGUACGUUCGCAAGAAUGAAACUCAAAGGAAUUGACGGGGACCCGCACAAGCGGUGGAGCAUGCGGAUUAAUUCGAUGCAACGCGAAGAACCUUACCUGGGCUUGACAUGUGCCGGAUCGCCGUGGAGACACGGUUUCCCUUCGGGGCCGGUUCACAGGUGGUGCAUGGUCGUCGUCAGCUCGUGUCGUGAGAUGUUGGGUUAAGUCCCGCAACGAGCGCAACCCUCGCCGCAUGUUGCCAGCGGGUGAUGCCGGGAACUCAUGUGGGACCGCCGGGGUCAACUCGGAGGAAGGUGGGGAUGACGUCAGAUCAUCAUGCCCCUUACGUCCAGGGCUUCACGCAUGCUACAAUGGCCGGUACAACGCGGUGCGACACGGUGACGUGGGGCGGAUCGCUGAAAACCGGUCUCAGUUCGGAUCGCAGUCUGCAACUCGACUGCGUGAAGGCGGAGUCGCUAGUAAUCGCGGAUCAGCAACGC
rnacentral:rRNA from 1 species